rnacentral:rRNA from 1 species
GUCGUCCUUAGAGUUUGAUCCUGGCUCAGGACCAACGCUGGUGGCGCGCCUAACACAUGCAAGUCGAACGAGCGAGAGAGAGCUUGCUUNCUCAAGCGAGUGGCCAACGGGUAAUUUACGCGUGAGGAACCUGCCUCAAAGAGGGGGACAACAGUUGGAAACGACUGCUAAUACCGCAUAAGCCCACAGCUCGGCAUCGAGCAGAGGGAAAAGGAGCAAUCCGCUUUGAGAUGGCCUCGCGUCCGAUUAGCUAGUUGGUGAGGUAACGGCCCACCAAGGCGACGAUCGGUAGCCGGACUGAGAGGUUGAACGGCCACAUUGGGACUGAGACACGGGCCAGACUCCUACGGGAGGCAGCAGUGGGGAAUAUUGCACAAUGGGGGAAACCCUGAUGCAGCGACGCCACGUGGAGGAAGAAGGUCUUCGGAUUGUAAACUCCUGUUGUUGAGGAAGAUAAUGACGGUACUCAACAAGGAAGUGACGGCUAACUACGUGCCAGCAGCCGCGGUAAAACGUAGGUCACAAGCGUUGUCCGGAAUUACUGGGUGUAAAGGGAGCGCAGGCGGGAAGACAAGUUGGAAGUGAAAUCUAUGGGCUCAACCCAUAAACCGCUUUCAAAACGGUGUAUCUUGAGUAGUGCAGAGGUAGCGGGAAUUCCCGGUGUAGCGGUGGAAUGCGUAGAUAUCGGGAGGAACACCAGUGGCGAAGGCGGGCUACUGGGCACCAACUGACGCUGAGGCUCGAAAGUGUGGGUAGCAAACAGGAUUAGAUACCCUGGUAGUCCACACCGUAAACGAUGAUUACUAGGUGUUGGAGGAUUGACCCCUUCAGUGCCGCAGUUAACACAAUAAGUAAUCCACCUGGGGAGUACGACCGCAAGGUUGAAACUCAAAGGAAUUGACGGGGGCCCGCACAAGCAGUGGAGUAUGUGGUUUAAUUCGACGCAACGCGAAGAACCUUACCAAGUCUUGACAUCCUGCGACGGACAUAGAAAUAUGUCUUUCCUUCGGGACGCAGAGACAGGUGGUGCAUGGUUGUCGUCAGCUCGUGUCGUGAGAUGUUGGGUUAAGUCCCGCAACGAGCGCAACCCUUACUGUCAGUUACUACGCAAGAGGACUCUGGCAGGACUGCUGUUGACAAAACGGAGGAAGGUGGGGGUGACGUCAAAUCAUCAUGCCCUUUAUGACUUGGGCUACACACGUACUACAAUGGCGUUAAACAAAGAGAAGCAAGACCGCGAGGUGGAGCAAAACUCAGAAACAACGUCCCAGUUCGGACUGCAGGCUGCAACUCGCCUGCGCGAAGUCGGAAUUGCUAGUAAUCGUGGAUCAGCAUGCCACGGUGAAUACGUUCCCGGGC